CAUGGUUGUCGUCAGCUCGUGUCGUGAGAUGUUGGGUUAAGUCCCGCAACGAGCGCAACCCCUACGUUUAGUUGCUAACGCGUGAAGGCGAGCACUCUAGACGAACUGCCGUUGACAAAACGGAGGAAGGUGGGAUGACGUCAAAUCAUCAUGCCCCUUAUGUUCUGGGCUACACACGUGCUACAAUGGCCGGUACAGACGGACGCAAAGCCGCGAGGUGGAGCAAAUCCUAAAAAGCCGGUCUCAGUUCGGAUUGCAGGCUGCAAUUCGCCUGCAUGAAGUCGGAAUCGCUAGUAAUCGCAGGUCAGCAUACUGCGGUGAAUACGUUCCCGGGCCUU
rnacentral:rRNA from 1 species